rnacentral:rRNA from 1 species
GACGACCUCAGUUCGGAUUGAAGGGCUGAAAUUCGCCUUCAUGAAGUCGGAAUUGCUAGUAAUGGCAGGUCAGCAUACUGCCGUGAAUACGUUCCCGGGCCUUGUACACACCGCCCGUCACACCAUGGGAGUCGGUAACACCCGAAGUCUGUAGCCUGACGCAAGAGGGCGCAGCCGAAGGUGGGAUUGAUGACUGGGGUGAAGUCGUAACAAGGUAAC